rnacentral:rRNA from 1 species
AGGACGAACGCUGGCGGCGUGCUUAACACAUGCAAGUCGAACGAGGUGCUUCGGCAUUUAGUGGCGAACGGGUGAGUAACACGUGAGCAACCUGCCCUUGGCUCUGGGAUAGCCUCCGGAAACGGGGAUUAAUACCGGACAUGACCUGCUCCUGCAUGGGGGCGGGUGGAAAGUUUUUCGGCCAGGGAGGGGCUCGCGGCCUAUCAGCUUGUUGGGGGGGUAACGGCCCACCAAGGCGACGACGGGUAGCCGGCCUGAGAGGGCGACCGGCCACACUGGGACUGAGACACGGCCCAGACUCCUACGGGAGGCAGCAGUGGGGAAUAUUGCACAAUGGGGGAAACCCUGAUGCAGCGACGCCGCGUGCGGGAUGAAGGCCUUCGGGUUGUAAACCGCUUUCAGCAGGGACGAACCUAGACGGUACCUGCAGAAGAAGCGCCGGCUAACUACGCGCCAGCAGCCGC